AUUGAACGCUGGCGGCAGGCCUAACACAUGCAAGUCGAGCGGAUGAAGGGAGCUUGCUCCUGGAUUCAGCGGCGGACGGGUGAGUAAUGCCUAGGAAUCUGCCUGGUAGUGGGGGAUAACGUCCGGAAACGGGCGCUAAUACCGCAUACGUCCUGAGGGAGAAAGUGGGGGAUCUUCGGACCUCACGCUAUCAGAUGAGCCUAGGUCGGAUUAGCUAGUUGGUGGGGUAAAGGCCUACCAAGGCGACGAUCCGUAACUGGUCUGAGAGGAUGAUCAGUCACACUGGAACUGAGACACGGUCCAGACUCCUACGGGAGGCAGCAGUUGGGAAUAUUGGACAAUGGGCGAAAGCCUGAUCCAGCCAUGCCGCGUGCGUGAAGAAGGUCUUCGGAUUGUAAAGCACUUUAAGUUGGGAGGAAGGGCAGUAAGUUAAUACCUUGCUGUUUUGACGUUACCAACAGAAUAAGCACCGGCUAACUUCGUG
rnacentral:rRNA from 1 species